rnacentral:rRNA from 1 species
UACGGAGGGUGCAAGCGUUAUCCGGAUUCACUGGGUUUAAAGGGUGCGUAGGUGGGUUGGUAAGUCAGUGGUGAAAUACUUUCGCUUAACGAAGGAACUGCCAUUGAUACUACCAGUCUUGAAUACAGUGGAGGUAGGCGGAAGGCGUCAUGUAGCGGUGAAAUGCUUAGAUAUGACGCAGAACACCAAUUGCGAAGGCAGCUUGCUACACUGUUAUUGACACUGAGGCACGAAAGCGUGGGGAUCAAACAGG